rnacentral:lncRNA from 1 species
UCAUUCGGGCUGACAGCGGCAUUUAUGAGAGCAAAUGUCUGUCCCUGCGCAAUUUCUGUGGGGAUAGUUGCAGUCAGGUCUACAGGAUUUGCUUAAAAAUUUCCAAGACCUGGGUGUGUCUGACAGCCUGGACCUCAACCUCAAAAAGGAACUAGCUCCUCUCUGAUUUCCUUGGGACACCUGGGAGCAAGCACAGGAGCCCAUGGAGCCACGGAGAGUGUCACUUCAAGCGCCUCCUGGGAGCUCUUGCAGAUGCCAAGUGCUCUGCCCUUCCCCAUUACCUGUGAUUUCAAGUGGGCUUAGAGAUUCUCCAAGAUGUGAGAUGAAAGGCCAAGAAACUAAUUCCUCUGACUUCUUCAGAGAACCGCACAGUCUCUUGAGGAGUUAACCAGAAGAGUGACGGUUGUGCAUGGACGGCCCUGGUUCACAGUCCAGCUCUGCCAUCCCUAGCAUGAUACCUAGAUGAAGCCCUGUGGAUUCUACCUCUGGAUCAUCUCAUCCAAAAUGCCACCCGUCAGUUUCCACUGGUCCUCCUUGGUUCAAGGCGUCCUCAUCUUCACCCUCCACUGAAGCAACAACUCCUCACGGAUCUUCCUGCUUCCAAUCUUGCCUUUCUCUUUUCUCUCUUACCCAAACCCAUAGGCAUGUCCUCUUCAGAUCAUGAAUAAUAUUCCUAAAACACAAACAGGAUCAGAUUCCCCCCUUGUAAAAUUCCUUCAGUGGAUGUCUUCUAACUUCAAGGGAAAGGCUAGGACCCUUGGAUCUUCCAAAUCCAGACCAGGCUGACUGCUCUAGCCUUCUUCCAACAUCCACGACACCCAUUUUGCACCCAAUGCUCUAGGCACUGGGAGCUACUCACAGUUCCCCUGACCUGACAAACUGUUCAGACAUCCACACAUUUCCUAGUGCUGUCUGCACCUGCAUAAAUUGCCCUCUGCUUUCCUCAUGUCCCCUCUACUGUUAAAACCUGCUCAUCUCUUAUUACUCAGCUCCACUGUUCUCUUCUCGCUCUACAGAAAAGGUUCCAGGCUCCAGUUAUGACUCUCCUCUAUGUCCCAAUCAGAACACAUUCGGUUCCCAUUAGAGUCUCUAGGACAAUCUAAUCUUGCAUUACCUUUUCCUCUAUAGGACCACAGCUUGUUGAAGAAAAUGAACAGUCUCCCUGGUACCAUUUGUUUUUGUAUCCCCAGCAUCUAUGGCAUUGAGUACAUAGAAUCCUUGGGAUGACCAGCAAUUGAGCUGUGGGCAGAACAAGAACAAUCAGCAAAGGAGACUGAGAAGCACCAGCCAGAGAAGCAGGAGGAGAACCGGUAGAGAGACAGCUACUGCAGCCACCAAAGGGAGAAAUGUAGGCAUCUGGUUGGGUUGGGCUAGAUUUUUUAGGUCUGCAUGAGGCCUCAGGAUGACCCUGUGAGAGCACCCCAAGUCACCCAGGAGAGCCAGCAGAGCAUCUGUGUAUGACAUAUGACCCCCCUACCACCACCCUUGACUGUUCAAACUGGAGAAGGGCUGAAAACACGUGGGCAGCCAAGCACCUUUUAUGGGUUUCUGGAAGGUCAUCUCAGCCACAGCAUCAAGUACACCACGUGAUGCUCACUCACAGUAUGAGCCCCCAUGAGGAAAGCAAUGACCCCAACACUGAGAGCAUGGUAGGGUCCCAUCUGCUCCCACAUGGCAGACAGGCCCCGAGGAAUGAGCAUGACUGGGUCUGCCAACCAGAUGCAGAUGCAGGGUGGUAUGGUUGAAUCAGGCAGAUGGCUGUAGGAUCAAUUCUCCAUCUCACCAUUUUUUUGUUGGGUAAUUCUGAUUAAGUUAGUGAACUUCCUUAGCUUGCUUUGUACCAUGGAGACAAAACAUCCACCUCACACAAUUGCUAGAGCAUGCAGGCGAGGAAGGACUUGACAUCUAUUGUAGCUGAUAAUAAAGACACACUAGUGCUCUCUUCUUGUGCAUGUUCUUAGUCUUACAGAUGUAUGCUGAUUUUGAAUAUAAAACCUAUAUAGUUGAUGUUUACUUUUUGGAUAUCAUAAUGACCCUAGAGCCCACAGGAUAUAUGAUAUGAACAUUCAUUCCUUCAGCUAAUAUUUAUUGAGCAUCUGUGCUAAGUACUGGGAAGGCAAUAGUGAUUAUCCAAAGGUCACAUUUUCCUGUGUGUUGAAGGUGCUUCAUUGAGGAAGACAAAUGUGUGAGCUUCUAGGCAGGAGAAGUGACAUUCACAAAGACACAUACUGUGUAUAAUUGGAGGGUUAGAAGAUGGCAGAGAUGAGAGAUAGCAGGGAAGUUGCACAAGGGCCGGGGAAUGGACCACAGAGAGUGUUGAAUGCCACCCUCAAGAUAGCAGCCCCUGUGGGCCAUGGGCAGGACAGUGACAACUGACUGCUUCCCUUCCCUCUCUUUUUUUCUUUUUUUGUCUACUUUUAGUGUUUAAAAUUUCAAUUAAUUAAUGAAUCAAAGUUGGCAACAAAAGAUUUUGCUACAUUUGCCUGUCCCGAUUCUUGACAAUUCUCUCUGAGGAGGAGCACUGGGAUACUCGUACUGUCUGGCAUCUAUUAGGUAUUGUUUAAUAUCUGUUCAAAUGAACAAAAUGUACUUGUAUUGAGUUGAACCAAAGUGAAGCCCUUUGGGACAACUUUGGAGCAAUAGUGGAUUAUAUUAUUCUGGAUGACUUAUGAAAAAUAUUUACCCUUAAUCAGUCUUAGAUGAACUGAAAAUUAUUCAUAUUCAGUUCAGUUAAUGGUGGUUAUUUAGCUAAGUCUUGAUUACGUAUAACGGACAGGAGCUAGUCAACAGAUAACGACGUGGCCCUGGGUUCCCUCUGCCCUGGCCUGAACAUCCUUUUUAUGAAAGGACACUUUCCUGUUUGUACAGCAGCCAAAGACUCACAUGUGAAUUCUUUAUACACACUGCAAGCAAUCCAAGCAUCUGACUUCCAUUCUUCACUCACAGCUGGGAGCAAGUGCGAGAAAUCAGUGGAAAGCUGGAGGUUUGUUAACAGGGGGUUUAUUUUGGCACUCAGUUGCAAUUAAAUCCGGUGGGUUAAAAGCUUCUGAAUGUAUUACCCUCUUUUAAACAAGCCACUUUUAGAGUGUUUCCACAAUGAACAAUAUUCAUCACCAAUGUUAUAUAUGGCUGACUUUCACUCUCAAAUAAUACCUUCUUUCCUUGGAAGGAAAAACAACUUUCCCAUCCUUAUAAUUGAAUCCAAACAUCUGUCACCCACAAAGACAUGGUUUUAGAGGUUGAUUAAUGGAUAUCUGGCUCACGGAGUACACAGAACCACACUCAUUUGCAACAAAUUUACACCAACACCCACACACGCUUAGGCACAUACACCAAUACGCAUGCCCCAAAUGCGUUCCUCCAAAAAACAUGUUUCCAUUAUCAUUUCUUUUAAUACAAUUAAGACAACAAUAAAGAAAGAGAUGUAGGCAGAAUAGUAAAAAAGCAAUGACUAGGAGUCCAGAGACCUCAGGUCUGAUCAUGACCUUUGACGAGUAACAUAAUCUCUCCAGCUCUCAAUUUCCACACAUGAAAAAUAUGAAUGAUGAAACCACCUCCAUCAUUUAACGCUUAUAACCCACCCACGACCUGACAUGUUCAUGCAUUUGUGCCUUCGUGUGAGAGUUCCUCUGCCAACUGUGUUCCACGAGACCUUCAUCAUCUUUCAGAACUCAACAGAUAUACCACCUCCCCAAAGAAUCCCUCCCUGGUUCCCCCAAGCAGAAUCAGCAGCUCAUUCUCAAUCAUUCCAGAAACCUUGCAUGCAAUCAGUUUUGUUGCAGCUUUCAUUGCAUAGUACAGCAACCACCUCACCUAAACUAUUAACCCACAGAGAACAGAGCAGGUCUGAUUGUUUUCGUUUCCCUGGUGGAGAGAAAAGGAAUAGCACAUGAAGUUCUAAUAAAAAGUUGAAGGGAAAAAACAAUUGAAUGAGUCAUUACUUGAAUGACACAAUAUCCUCAUAUGGCAUAAGAAAAGCUCCCACCUGGCCUGCAGUCUCUUCCCCUCUGCAACACUGAGAUCUCGGUCUUGCUGAAAUCUGGUACUAGUCCCAUCAUGUUCUUGGCCCAUCACCUUCAGGAUACAGUCCAGAUUCCUCAUCAAGGCAACCUGUUUCUCUGUCUUCAUGACUGAGUUGCCACCUCUCCUGCUGCUCUCCUCCCAUCCCCCACCACCUGCUAUGUUCUAGGAUACUCAGCCAAGGUUCCUGACACACCAUGCUCUGUCUUACCUCUGGGUCUAUCCCUCUCUCCUACAAUCCCAUCCACCUUCCUCACUUAGCCAAUCCCUACCUGUCUCCCAGACUUACCUAAGAUGAUUUUUCCUCCAGGAAGCCUUCCAGGGUCCCAGAAUCCUCUUAUUCUCUGCCUGCCAGAAUGCCAUGGUUGUCUCUAAUAGGACCAUCUGUUUGAGGGUCUGUGGGCUCCUUGAAGACAGAAACUGGGAACUGCUCACCUCUAUCCCCUGCCCCAUGCCUGAUGCUGACUGGCCACUCAGUAAGCAUGUCUUGCUGUGAGUGGGUGGGCAGAUGAAUGAAGAGUCCAAGGUGAUCAGAAGAGGGUCAGAUUCUAUAGGGCAACUCUAAAGCAUGUGCAUGUCACACCACCAGCUGAGGGUUUCCUUCUUGCCCUUUGAGGAAGGUUAUUUUCUUCUAGACCUUAACCAGCUUCUGAGAAAAGCAUUCUUAAAAUCUCCCAUUGUAGCUAUUAGUUUUUCAAAUUCUCCUUGUAAUUCAUUGUAUGUGUCUGUGCACAUAUGCCUAUAUUUAUAUGGUUAUGUGUGCACAGACACAUACACAUAGUCACAUAUAUAUGUAUGUACUUAUAAGUACACAUUCAGUAAAUACACAUCGAAGCUGUGUUGCUAGGUGUCUGCAAGUUUUUGAUUAUCUUAACUCUGCAGUAGAGCCAGACUUUGCUUAGAUUAUUUCUUUUUAUCCCCUCCCCUCCCUCAGCACACACACUUUUAUUUUCAAACUUUGUGUUUAGUUUUAUUUGGUUAACUCUUUUGUAGGCAGCUUAUACUAAAAUUUUAAAAAUUGAAUUUGAUUGUGUUUUCUAGUGAGAUAAUGUAAUUCAUUUAGGUUUACUAUUAUUUCUGCUUUUUAAUGUGUUCCAUUUCUUGUGCUUUUUUCUUUUUUUGCUGCCUUUUUCUACUUUCUUUUCUUCCUUCUGCUGGAUUAAUAAUGCUAGAUGUCUUCCUUUUUCCUAUUAUUUGCUUUGGAAGUUGGAGAUUCUAUUACAAUUGGGUGGAAUGGAUUGUCCUCUAGGAUUUUCACUUUACAAAAUCACAUUUAUAUUUUCAAGCAGUAUCCAAAAUUAUUCAGUAUAUCUGUCUUCAUUCCAAAUAUGACACUGCUGUUAGCAUGCUUCAAAUGCCCUUCACACACCCCUGCUCCAUUAUCUGUGUUAUUGCUCUAUAACUUUAGUUCCAUAUUUAUUUUUUCUAUCAAGAAUUCAUUGCAUCUACCAACAUAGUUUACCAAUUUCUUUAAUCAUCAUUUCUUCUUUUAUUCUACUCCUCUGAAUUUAGUUUCCUUCUUGCUAAAAUUUAUCUUUUAAUAGUUCUUUCAGUGGAAGUAUAAACUCUCUUAUUCUUGUAUGUCUGAAAAUGCCCUUAAUUCAGAUACUCUGGAAUGACAGUUAACUGGGUGCAGAAUUUAGACUCACAGCUCCUUUGAAGAUGACUUUCCAUUUUCUCCUCACCCCUAUUGUGGCUGAUUGGAAGUCUGCUGUCAGUCUGGGUAUAAUUCUUUUCUAGAAGUCUUAGUCUGUUUAGGCUACUAUAACAAAAUCUUACAGGCUGGGUGGCUUAUAAACAACAGAAAUUUAUUUCUCACAGCUAUGGAGGCUGUGAAGUCCAAGAUCAAGGCUAUGGCAGAUUCAGUGUCUAGUAAAAGCCUGUUUCCAGGUUCAUAGAUGGCACCUUCUCACUGUGUUCUCAUGUAGUGUGUCAAGGAAUCUUUUUGGGGUUUACUUUAUAAAAGCAUUAUGGGCUGGGCAUGGUGACUCAUACCUAUAAUCUCAGCAUUUUGGGAGGCUGAGGCAGGCAGAUUACGUGUGGUCAGGAGUUUGAGACCAGCCUGGGUGACACGGUGAAACCCCAUCUCUACUACAAACAUAAAAAUUAGCCAGGCAUGGUGGCACUCACCUGUAAUCCCAGCUACUCAGGAGGCUGAGGCAUGAGAAUAACUUGAGCCUGGAAGGCAAAGGUUGCAGUGAGCCAAGAUCGUAUCACCAGUUGCCAUGAAGUGAAGUGUGUGAUUAACCUUGUAUACAAGGUCCCUCACUUGUUUUAUCUAUGUGUUUAUUUUAUUUUACCAUGAUUUAUUUAUCUCCCCUCUCCCACAGAAGAACCACUCCUGUGUAUUUAAUGUGUAUUAUUUUGUUCAUAUGUGAUAUUAAAACAUGUAUUGUUUUCUGAACAUGUAUUUUUAAUUUAUGGAAACAAUCAUAUGUUAUAUAUGUCACACUGUAUUUUGUAAGAGCCACACAUAUUGUUGUGUGCACAUCAAGUUCAUUACUUCCAAUUGCUGCAUAUUAAUGCUUGGUGUACUCCAACCAAGUGUUACCAAUUCAUUUCCCAGUGAUAGCAGCCAAUCUUCUCUAUCUCCUUGACACUACAGAUAAAUCCCACUUGUAUUUGUCCUCUUACUGGAUGGUGAACAUUUCUUUGAGAUAUCCCUAUUCCUACUUCUAUACAGAUAUCUAUCUAUCCAUCUCUCUCUCUCUGUCUCUGUCUCUGUCUCUCUCUCUGUAUCCAUCUAUGUCAUCUACCUAUCUCCAGGAACAUACCUAAAUUAACUAGUGCAAGAUUGCCUUUCAGAAUACUAAUAGCUUUUACUUCCACUAGCUAUGUGUGAGGUUCCUAUAUCCUUAUAUCCUAAUGAACAUUUGAUCCUAAUCAACAUUUGGCUUUAUCCAAUUUUUUUAAUAGUCUUUGCUUGCUAUAUAUCUCUGUGUGGAAUUAUGCAUAAAUUUUCCAAUGUUAUUUUCCAUUUUAUUAAUUGUGUCUUUUACUGUGUCCAGUUUAUUUUCAUCUCAUCUACUGA